rnacentral:rRNA from 1 species
GUGGGGAAUUUUGGACAAUGGGCGCAAGCCUGAUCCAGCAAUGCCGCGUGCAGGAAGAAGGCCUUCGGGUUGUAAACUGCUUUUGUACGGAACGAAACGGUCCUGGUUAAUACCUGGGGCUAAUGACGGUACCGUAAGAAUAAGCACCGGCUAACUACGUGCCAGCAGCCGCGGUAAUACGUAGGGUGCGAGCGUUAAUCGGAAUUACUGGGCGUAAAGCGUGCGCAGGCGGUGCUGUAAGACAGGCGUGAAAUCCCCGGGCUCAACCUGGGAAUUGCGCUUGUGACUGCAGUGCUGGAGUGCGGCAGAGGGGGAUGGAAUUCCGCGUGUAGCAGUGAAAUGCGUAGAUAUGCGGAGGAACACCGAUGGCGAAGGCAAUCCCCUGGGCCUGCACUGACGCUCAUGCACGAAAGCGUGGGGAGCAAACAGGAUUAGAUACCCCAGUAGUCC